rnacentral:rRNA from 1 species
GUAGGUGGCAAGCGUUGUCCGGAAUUAUUGGGCGUAAAGCGCGCGCAGGCGGUCCUUUAAGUCUGAUGUGAAAGCCCACGGCUCAACCGUGGAGGGUCAUUGGAAACUGGGGGACUUGAGUACAGAAGAGGAAAGCGGAAUUCCAAGUGUAGCGGUGAAAUGCGUAGAGAUUUGGAGGAACACCAGUGGCGAAGGCGGCUUUCUGGUCUGUAACUGACGCUGAGGCGCGAAAGCGUGGGGAGCAAACAGGGAUUAGAUACCCUGGUAGUCCACGCCGUAAACGAUGAGUGCUAAGUGUUAGGGGGUUUCCCGCCCCCUUAGUGCUGCAGCUAACGCAUUAAGCACUCCGCCUGGGGAGUACGCCGCAAGGCUG